GACGAACGCUGGCGGCGUGCUUAACACAUGCAAGUCGAACGGACAGGCUCUGCUUUUGCUGGGUGCUCGAGUGGCUAACGGUUGCGUAACACUUGAGUACCCUUCCCUUGCCUUUGUGAUAACUUCAGGAAACUGGGGCUAAUACCGGCUAGUACCUCCUGCUGCUUGUUGUUGCUUGGAAAUUUUUGGCGGUUUGGGAUGGACGCGCGGCUUAUUAGCUUGUUGGUGGGGUAGUGGCUUACCAAGGUUUCGACGGUUAGCCGGCCUGAGAGGGUGACCGGCCACAGUGGGACAGGGAUACGGCCAAGACGGAUACGGGAGGAAGCAGUGAGAAAUAGUGCAAGAUGGGCGGAAUCCGGAUGCAGCAUCUCCGCGUGCUGGAUGACUGCCGUAGGGGUGUAAACCGCGUUCGCCUGUGAAGAAGAGUGAGUGACGGUAAUGGGUAAAGAAGCACCGGCUAACUACGUG
rnacentral:rRNA from 1 species